UACGUAGGGUGCAAGCGUUAAUCGGAAUUACUGGGCGUAAAGCGUGCGCAGGCGGCUUUGCAAGACAGAUGUGAAAUCCCCGGGCUUAACCUGGGAACUGCAUUUGUGACUGCAUGGCUGGAGUGCGGCAGAGGGGGAUGGAAUUCCGCGUGUAGCAGUGAAAUGCGUAGAGAUGUGGCGGAACACCGAUGGCGAAGGCAGCCCCCUGGGCUGAGAUUGACGCUCAGGCACGAAAGCGUGGGGAGCAAACAGG
rnacentral:rRNA from 1 species